CAUGCAAGUCGAGCGGAAAGGCCCUUCGGGGUACUCGAGCGGCGAACGGGUGAGUAACACGUGAGCAACCUGCCCCCGACUCUGGGAUAAGCCCGGGAAACUGGGUCUAAUACCGGAUACGACGAACCCCGGCAUCGGGGAUCGUGGAAAGUUUUUCGGUUGGGGAUGGGCUCGCGGCCUAUCAGCUUGUUGGUGGGGUAGUGGCCCACCAAGGCGACGACGGGUAGCCGGCCUGAGAGGGCGACCGGCCACACUGGGACUGAGACACGGCCCAGACUCCUACGGGAGGCAGCAGUGGGGAAUAUUGCACAAUGGGGGAAACCCUGAUGCAGCGACGCCGCGUGCGGGAUGACGGCCUUCGGGUUGUAAACCGCUUUCAGCAGGGACGAAACAAGACGGUACCUGCAGAAGAAGCGCCGGCUAACUACGUGCCAGCAGCCGCGGUAAUACGUAGGGCGCAAGCGUUGUCCGGAAUUAUUGGGCGUAAAGAGCUCGUAGGCGGUCUGUCGCGUCGGAUGUGAAAGCUCGAGGCUUAACCUCGGGUCUGCAUCCGAUACGGGCAGACUAGAGGCAGGUAGGGGAGAACGGAAUUCCCGGUGUAGCGG
rnacentral:rRNA from 1 species